rnacentral:rRNA from 1 species
GAUGAACGCUGACAGAAUGCUUAACACAUGCAAGUCGAUGGGGAAGUGGUGCUUGCACCAUGGCAACCAUGGCGGACGGGUGAGUAACGCGUAAGGGACUUACCUGCAGGACUGGGAUAACAGGGGGAAACUCCUGACAAGACCGGAUAAUGUCAUGGAGCUGCAUGGCUUUAUGAUGAAAGGAGACGCCUGCGGAGAGCCUUGCGUCCUAUUAGCUAGUUGGUGAGGUAAUGGCUCACCAAGGCGAAGAUAGGUAGCCGGCCUGAGAGAGUGGACGGCCACAAGGGGACUGAGAUACGGCCCUUACUCCUACGGGAGGCAGCAGUGGGGAAUAUUGGACAAUGGGGGCAACCCUGAUCCAGCAAUUCUGUGUGCACGAAGAAGGUUUUCGGAUUGUAAAGUGCUUUCAGCAGGGAAGAAGUAAGUGACGGUACCUGCAGAAGAAGCGACGGCUAAAUACGU